GACGAACGCUGGCGGCGUGCUUAACACAUGCAAGUCGAACGAAGUGGCGAACGGGUGAGUAACGCGUAAUCAACCUGCCCUUCAGAGGGGGACAACAGUUGGAAACGACUGAUAAUACCGCAUACUGAAGGAGGGGAUUGCGUAUGAUGAGCUAGUUGGGGGGGUAACGGCCCACCAAGGAGAUGAUCAGUAGCCGGUCUGAAGGGACGAACGGCCACAUUGGGACUGAGACACGGCCCAAACUCCCACGGGAGGCAGCAGUGGGGAAUCUUCCGCAAUGGACGAAAGUCUGACGGAGCAACGCCGCGUGAGGGAUGACGGCCUUCGGGUUGUAAAGCUCUGUUAAUCGGGACGCGGUACCGGAAUAGAAAGCCACGGCUAACUACGUGCCAGCCGCCGCGGUAAUAC
rnacentral:rRNA from 1 species